rnacentral:rRNA from 1 species
GACGAACGCUGGCGGCGUGCUUAACACAUGCAAGUCGAACGAAGUGGCGAACGGGUGAGUAACGCGUAAUCAACCUGCCCUUCAGAGGGGGAUAACUAUUGGAAACGACUGCUAAUACCGCAUACUGAAGGAGGGGAUUGCGUCUGAUUAGCUAGUGGGAGGGGAAACGGCCCACCAAGGCGAUGAUCAGUAGCCGGUCUGAGAGGAUGAACGGCCACAUUUGGACUGGGGCACGGCCCAGGAUCCUACGGGAGGCAGCAGUGGGGAAUCUUCCGAAAUGGACGAAAGUCUGACGGAGCAACGCCGGGUGAGUGAUGACGGCCUUCGGGUUGCAAAGCUCUGUUAAUCGGGACGCGUUACCGGAAUAGAAAGCCACGGCUAACUACGUGCCAGCCGCCGCGGUAAUUC